AGCGAACGCUGGCGGCGUGCCUAACACAUGCAAGUCGAACGGUUCUGUUGGGGGCUUGCUCUCGACAGAGUAGUGGCAAACGGGUGAGUAACACGUGGGUAAUCUUCCUUCGAGUGAGGAAUAACUUCGGGAAACCGGAGCUAAUACCGCAUAACAUCUUGGGACGGCAGUUCCAAGAUCAAAGGGGGCGCAAGCUCCCGCUUGAAGUUGAGCUCGCGUCCUAUCAGCUAGUUGGUGAGGUAAUGGCUCACCAAGGCUCCGACGGGUAGCCGGCCUGAGAGGGUGGCCGGCCACACUGGGACUGAGACACGGCCCAGACUCCUACGGGAGGCAGCAGUGGGGAAUAUUGCGCAAUGGACGAAAGUCUGACGCAGCGACGCCGCGUGGGUGAUGAAGGCCUUCGGGUCGUAAAGCCCUGUUGAGGGAGAGAAAGCUACUGUCGGUUAAUACCCGGCAGUGGUGAUAGUAUCCCUAGAGAAAGCACCGGCUAACUACGUG
rnacentral:rRNA from 1 species